CCAAUAGCGUAUAUUAAAGUUGUUGCAGUUAAAAAGCUCGUAGUUGAAUUUCGGGAUCAAUUUGCUGGUCGUGCCUUCGGUACGCACUGGUAUUAUUGGUUUCUCCUUUCUGAUGAAUCGCGAUGUCAUUAAUUUGGUGUCGUGGGGAAUCAGGACUGUUACUUUGAAAAAAUUAGAGUGUUUAAAGCAGGCUCACGCUUGAAUACAUUAGCAUGGAAUAAUGAAAGAGGACGUUUGAUUCUAUUUUGUUGGUUUCUAGGAUCGACGUAAUGAUUAAUAGGGAUAGUUGGGGGCAUUAGUAUUCAAUUGUCAGAGGUGAAAUUCUUGGAUUUAUUGAAGACUAACUACUGCGAAAGCAUUUGCCAAGGAUGUUUUCAUUAAUCAAGAACGAAAGUUAGGGGAUCGAAGACGAUCAGAUACCGUCGUAGUCUUAACCAUAAACUAUGCCGACUAGGGAUCGGAUGAUGUUAAUUUUUUAAUGACUCAUUCGGCGCCUUACG
rnacentral:rRNA from 1 species